GGAGGUUAUUCUUUAUGUUGGUGGUUCAGUAUUUAUAACAAAAUGCAUCCACUAUCGAGUUGCAUAUGCUGAUUCCUCUGGCAGAAAUCGGCAUCUGCAGGUUCAUGAACAUUGUGAUCCCUCAAGCAUGCCACAUGGCAGAUGCAGAUGGUGGGACAUUGUCUUGUGAUUGGGUGCCACCCUUCUGCUUGCUUAAAGGCUGGUAGAACUGUAGAAGAUGUACCUUGUUGGGCCUAGAGUCUAGCCCCCACAACACAUGUUUGAAAUAUCCCUGAUGAUGUUGGCCUCCGUCUGACCUGGGUGAAUUAUCUCAGUUUUCUGACUGGAUGAUUGUUUCUCAAAUAGAUACAUACAGUUGCAGUUGGAGCUGCGGCUUGUCUAAUACUUGCAACAGGAACAAAAGGCAGACGGUUUUAUGAUGCCACUGCAAAAGCCAUGAUCCAACAGCCUAAAGUCCCAUCUUCAGGACUGAUGCCUGCAAUUAACGUUCUUAUCCGCUCAAAAGAGGUUGUAAUGCUGUUUGCGGUGGAGAGAUGCACAAAGUCAUCAUGGAUAAAGCUUGAUAGGGUGAUUUUAAGUACCCAUGUGGAAGGUGAUAUACUAGAGGGAUGUACAGCCUUGUAGUGGGAACUAUAAAUUUACAUGUUCUGAGCAGGGAUAUUCGUUCCUGUAAAAUUUUGCUGAUUAUCUUAAAGCUACAAAUUCAAUUAUA